AUUGAACGCUGGCGGCAGGCCUAACACAUGCAAGUCGAGCGGAUGAAGGGAGCUUGCUCCCUGAUUUAGCGGCGGACGGGUGAGUAAUGCCUAGGAAUCUGCCUGGUAGUGGGGGACAACGUUUCGAAAGGAACGCUAAUACCGCAUACGUCCUACGGGAGAAAGUGGGGGAUCUUCGGACCUCACGCUAUCAGAUGAGCCUAGGUUGAAUUAGCUAGUUGGUGAGGUAAAGGCUCACCAAGGCGACGAUCCGUAACUGGUCUGAGAGGAUGGUCAGUCACAAUGGAACUGAGACACGGUCCAGACUCCUACGGGCGGUAACAGUGGGAAGUAUUAGACCACGGGCGAAAGCCUGAUUCAGCCAUGCCGCGUGUUUGAAGAAGGUCUUCGGAUUGUAAAACACUUUAAGUUGGGAGGAUGGACAGUAAGUUAAUACCUUGCUGUUUUGACGUUACCAACAGAAUAAGCACCGGCUAACUUCGUGCCAGCCGCCGCCGUAAUAC
rnacentral:rRNA from 1 species